GACGAACGCUGGCGGCGUGCUUAACACAUGCAAGUCGAGCGGGAAACUUCGGUUUCCAGCGGCGGACGGGUGAGUAACACGUGGGCAACCUGCCUCACAAUGAGGGAUAGCCCUCCGAAAGGAGGAUUAAUACCUCAUGACACAAGAGAAACGCAUGUUUCUCUUGCCAAAGAAUUUCGUUGUGAGAUGGGCCCGCGGCGCAUUAGCUUGUUGGUGAGGUAACGGCUCACCAAGGCUUCGAUGCGUAGCCGACCUGAGAGGGUGAUCGGCCACAUUGGAACUGAGACACGGUCCAGACUCCUACGGGAGGCAGCAGUGGGGAAUAUUGCACAAUGGAGGAAACUCUGAUGCAGCAACGCCGCGUGAGUGAUGAAGGUCUUCGGAUUGUAAAGCUCUGUCUUCUGGGACGAUAAUGACGGUACCAGAGGAGGAAGCCACGGCUAACUACGUGCCAGCCGCCGCCGUAACAC
rnacentral:rRNA from 1 species